rnacentral:rRNA from 1 species
GGCCGCGGGAAUUCGAUUGGAUCGCCCUUAGAGUUUGAUCAUGGCUCAGGACGAACGCUGGCGGCGUGCCUAACACAUGCAAGUCGAGCGGAGAAUGCAAGAUGUUUACAUUGAGCAUUCUUAGCGGCGGACGGGUGAGUAACACGUGGGUAACCUGCCUCAGAGUGGGGGAUAGCCUUUCGAAAGGAAGAUUAAUACCGCAUAAGCUUGUAGCAUCGCAUGGUGCAGCAAGAAAAGGAGCAAUCCGCUCUGAGAUGGACCCGCGGCGCAUUAGCUAGUUGGUGAGGUAACGGCUCACCAAGGCCACGAUGCGUAGCCGACCUGAGAGGGUGAUCGGCCACAUUGGAACUGAGACACGGUCCAGACUCCUACGGGAGGCAGCAGUGGGGAAUAUUGCACAAUGGGCGAAAGCCUGAUGCAGCAACGCCGCGUGAGUGAUGAAGGCUUUCGAGUCGUAAAGCUCUUUGAUCAGGGAUGAUAAUGACAGUACCUGAAAAACAAGCCACGGCUAACUACGUGCCAGCAGCCGCGGUAAUACGUAGGUGGCGAGUGUUGUCCGGAAUUACUGGGCGUAAAGGAUGCGUAGGUGGAUAUUUAAGUGGGAUGUGAAAUCCCCGGGCUCAACCCGGGAACUGCAUUCCAAACUGGAUAUCUAGAGUGCAGGAGAGGAAAGCGGAAUUCCUAGUGUAGCGGUGAAAUGUGUAUAUAUUAGGAGGAACACCAGUGGCGAAGGCGGCUUUCUGGACUGUAACUGACACUGAGGCAUGAA